UACAGAGGUCUCAAGCGUUGUUCGGAUUCAUUGGGCGUAAAGGGUGUGUAGGUGGCGCGCUAAGUCGGGUGUGAAAUCUCGGGGCUUAACUCCGAAACUGCAUUCGAUACUGGCGUGCUUGAGGACUGGAGAGGAGACUGGAAUUCAUGGUGUAGCAGUGAAAUGCGUAGAGAUCAUGAGGAAGACCAGUGGCGAAGGCGGGUCUCUGGACAGUUCCUGACACUGAGACACGAAGGCCAGGGGAGCAAACGGG
rnacentral:rRNA from 1 species